GAGGUGUGCAUGUGAGAGGAGCGGUAUGUGUACAGACAUGGUUUCUACUUGCUGAUGAAACGGGAGAAACAUACUGAAUGUUGCGGAGAAAAGGUAAAACUUAAAAAAAAGUAUCGAUCCAAUACCAACGUUGGUAUUGAUAUAUCGAUUCGCCCGCCCCUACUAUACAUACUUUGAGUAGUUGUUACGGUACUAGUGGUCACCUAGUCCUUGAAAGCUUGCCGUUAAGCCCCACCACUAACAAUUUGCCACUGCCACUGCUAAAUAAUAUAAAUAAGGCUUUUCAGGUGCAUUAGACCCACUGCAACCCUGGCCAAAUUAAAUCUGUUACUGAAAAAAAUUGAAUUAAUAUUGUCUGUAUGUAGAUGCCUGGCCAUUCGAUGGCAUUACUGGUGAUUUUAACCCUAGAUCUUAGCAGUAGUGGGCUAGGGCAAUUUCUGGCUGCACAAUUUAAGUGCCUAAUUAUUAUUAUAAUUCUAAUUAUUAUUAUAAUUAGUAGUAGUUGUAAAUAACCCAAAGGAAUAAUGUAAAUAAUAAUGUUUUUUGUAUUUGUUAAGUAAGUGCUUAUUAUUUAGUAUUUUUAUUUUUUACAGGUGCUCUCAGGUUAACGGUAAAUAAACAGGUUAGAUUUGGUGGCAGAACAGAAGCAUUAAUAGAGCAAAAGGGCAGCUUUUAUACAGUUUUAGCCCCCUUUAGUAGGCAAAAGUGCCAUCACUCCAAGGAAAACAGAGUCAUGGAACAUAAUGUCUAGUCAACAAACACUGACCAGGUCAGUCUGUCCACAUUCGACCGUGUCUUGAAUCAACAUCAGCUGAGGAUGAAACAGGGAUCCAUUUUGCUGGUGCAAGUGCAGCCUCUGCUGUCCGGUUAAUGCGCCUGCCCAGGGGGUGGUUGAUCACAGAACCGUGAGUGCAUGGCUCCCCAUGCAUAAUACUGCAUUCUGCGAGACCCCACCCCUGGUAGGUGAAAAGAAGUUAUUAGCUGUGUGAGUCAGAGGGGCUGCGUGAGAGCCUCUGCCCCAUCGAUCAGAGAGAACUGUGAGAUGCAAGCAGGAUGAAGAACUGACUUAGGAACAGGAGAUAGCAUCACAGAUGUAGACUGGAUUACAGCAAAAGCCAAAGAAUUUAAGAUGGAAUUCAAAAUGUGCUUCAUUGACAACACAGAAUUAUGGAAUGUCCUCAGGAAGAUGGGAAGAACAGAGCAUCUCAUUGUUCUAAUAAGGAAUGCCUACACUGAUCAACAAGCUACAGUCAUGACAGAAAAUGAACACAGACUGGUUCCACAUUGGCGAAAGAGUUAGACAAGGCUGCAUCUGUCACCACUCCAGUUACAAUAAACACAGCUAGUACACUGAACAUGUACACUGAUCACACUGAUCAGCCAUAACAUUAAAACCACCUCCUUGUUUCUACACUCACUGUCCAUUUUAUCAGCUUUACUUACCAUAUUGGGCGGCACAGUGGCUUAGUGGGUAGCACUGUCGCCUCACAGCAAGAAGGUCCUGGGUUUUUGUCAUGAAUGUAACCAAA